rnacentral:rRNA from 1 species
UGGUAGUCCACGCCGUAAACGAUGUCGACUUGGAGGUUGUGCCCUUGAGGCGUGGCUUCCGGAGCUAACGCGUUAAGUCGACCGCCUGGGGAGUACGGCCGCAAGGUUAAAACUCAAAUGAAUUGACGGGGGCCCGCACAAGCGGUGGAGCAUGUGGUUUAAUUCGAUGCAACGCGAAGAACCUUACCUGGUCUUGACAUCCACGGAAGUUUUCAGAGAUGAGAAUGUGCCUUCGGGAACCGUGAGACAGGUGCUGCAUGGCUGUCGUCAGCUCGUGUUGUGAAAUGUUGGGUUAAGUCCCGCAACGAGCGCAACCCUUAUCCUUUGUUGCCAGCGGUCCGGCCGGGAACUCAAAGGAGACUGCCAGUGAUAAACUGGAGGAAGGUGGGGAUGACGUCAAGUCAUCAUGGCCCUUACGACCAGGGCUACACACGUGCUACAAUGGCGCAUACAAAGAGAAGCGACCUCGCGAGAGCAAGCGGACCUCAUAAAGUGCGUCGUAGUCCGGAUUGGAGUCUGCAACUCGACUCCAUGAAGUCGGAAUCGCUAGUAAUCGUGGAUCAGAAUGCCACGGUGAAUACGUUCCCGGGCCUUGUACACACCGCCCGUCACACCAUGGGAGUGGGUUGCAAAAGAAGUAGGUAGCUUAACCUUCGGGAGGGCGCUUACCACUUUGUGAUUCAUGACUGGGGUGAAGUCGUAACAAGGUAACCGUAGGGGAACCUGCGGUUGGA